UACGUAGGGACCAAGCGUUGUCCGGAAUCAUUGGGCUUAAAGGGCGCGUAGGCGGGUUCGCAAGUCUGUGGUGAAAGCCUCCAGCUUAACUGGAGAAGUGCCGUGGAUACUGCGAAUCUUGAGGAGGGUAGGGGCGUCUGGAACGGUCGGUGGAGCGGUGAAAUGCGUUGAUAUCGACCGGAACUCCGGUGGCGAAGGCGAGGCGCUGGACCCUUUCUGACGCUGAGGCGCGAAAGCCAGGGGAGCAAACGGG
rnacentral:rRNA from 1 species